AAAUUACUAUCAUGUGGCAGAUGAUUGAAACUGUCUGACACAAUUUGAUCUUGCUAUAGCAACAGAUUCCAACCUAUUCCGGCACUCUCUCCUCCAUGGGACAAGCCGUUAUACAGACUUAGACAGU